rnacentral:rRNA from 1 species
GACGUAGGUGGCGAACGUAUCCGGAAUUAUUGGGCGUAAAGGAUGCGUAGAUGGUGUAGUAAGUUAUCGGUGGCAAAUCGAGGCUCAACCUCGUGGAAGUCGGUAAUACUGCUAUGCUAGAGGAUAGGAGAGGUUAACGGAACUCCCUGUGGAGCGGUGAAAUGCGUAGAUAUAGGGAAGAACACCAAUCAGGCGAAGGCAGUUAACUAUUCUAUUCCUGACAUUGAGGCAUGAAAGCGUGGGGAGCAAAACGG